AGGAAAAGCUGAGGAGAGCAGACAGAGGCAGGUUGCGGAGCUCAGACCCUGCUUUGGUCAAGUUGGAAGAGGGUCUGGGGCUGAUUUGAAGGGACAAGGACGAUCCUCAUGUAGGGAAAAAAGCAACGUUUUGAAGUCAAUGCAGUCUUGUGCUGUUCAGAGGGCCAGAGUUUUCAAGCAUUGGACCAGCUAGGGGCUGACUCAGAAACACAGAUGAAAGCUCCUCCUGGCCUCAGACACUGUAAAGAUGAAAAUCAUUGAUUAUGAUCCUCCACUAUCUCACACCCUGACCCUUCAGGCCCUCAGCUUCACUGGUGCUGGGGAAGCACCCUGCCUUAAUAAAGGCUGAGGAUGAAGCAUCAUCCCGCCUCCAGCCUGACUGACUUUGAGCUAGCUGUGGCUCAGAUGCGCCUGAAGUAAAUAGAGUUGUUCUGGAGGCACAGGAGUGCUCGUGGUUGCAGUAGGGAAGGGUGUCCACACUGGGAUGUGCCAAUUAUUUAAUGCUUUGAAGCGUGCAUCCUUGCUGUUUAAAUCCUAUUAUUGCUUCUUGGUGCACCAUGGCUGUAAUAGCUGCACAUUAACCUGCAAAGUCUUGGCCAGAUUCCAGUGUAGCUGGUUUGGGGUGGACCUACACACUGCUGCUGGUGGAGAGCACUGCUGAGCUCCCUGCAGGAGCGGCUGCGUGGGCAGGGCAAAGCGCAACCUGUAUUCAGGUGGAAAAGCAGUUUUCAGACUUGGCUAACCAGAUUUGUUCUUGAGCAAUAUCUCCAGGGACUUCAAGCCCAGCCCUUGAGCACUGUUAAAGACUCUCUCUGUUCUGCAAGCUUUAGCCCUCCAGCUCUUCUGGUUUAAGACCCACACACACACUCCCAUCAGUCCCACUGGCAGCGAGGGAGACAGAGUGAUGCUGAGAGAGACAGCUGGAGACAGCUGUUUUGUUAAGUUUUAACUUCCUAUUCCUCACCCCUCCAAACCCUCCUUGAUGGGCUGAAUCUUUUAAUAAGCCUCACUGGGUCCAGGAGAGCUGGGAACUGCAUUUGCCAGCACAGCUCCAUAACAGCCUAGUAUAAAGUGCUUUAAAAAGUACCUUCUGAAGUGAUUUAACAGCAGCUUCACAUCAGAAGAGGACUUACAUAAACAUUAAAUGUUCUCUUUAAAUAUUAAAAUAUUCUCUUGGGAUGAA